rnacentral:rRNA from 1 species
AGUUACGGCGGCCAUGGCGAAGGGGAAACACCCGGUAACAUUCCGAACCCGGAAGUUAAGCCCUUCAGCGCCGAUGGUACUGCACGGGAGACUGUGUGGGAGAGUAGGACGCCGCCGGACA